CCUGGACGGCGUCGCUGACGAACAGGAAGUGGCGGGACAUGGCCAGGGUUCCCUGAAUGGUGCUGCAGCAGGAAGAACGCGUCAUUUGGCUUGUAUCGUGAGGUACGCUUGGUCCAUAGAUGUUGUUGCUCCUGGUGAUGAUAAUUGGAAACUGGAAAAACAAAGUGACGUUAUUAAUCUCGAUAAGAUUAAAAAAAAUAAAAUGACAAACUCCAGACCUGAUACUUGUCCCAGUAGGACCUGACCAGAUACUCAGCAGCUGCUUUAGUAGCAGCGUACGGGUUGGUCGGCCUCAGCGGACAGCCCUCGUCAAAUGCCUGAAAGGAAAGAGAAACGCAAUCUAGUAUGGAAUCCGACCUGGUGGAAAAUAAAAAUGAAAACCUCACUGACCUCAUCCAGGCUGGUUCCGUACACUUCGUCCGUGCUGACGUAGACAAAGCGCUGCGGCUGGUGUCGAGCCCGAUGGGCGGCAUCCAGUAGAACCCUGGUUCCGUCGACGUUGACCCGCUGGAAAACGGAGGGGAUCUCGAACGAAGACUCUGGGGGGGAAAAAAGGAGCGUAUAAAGAACUGGACUGAACUGCUUAUGAAGUGAAAUCUGAACUGAGGCUGCUCACCAACAUGAGUUUUAGCUGCCAGGUGAAAGAUGACAUCAAUGUUUUCAGUGAUGAAGAUAUGAUUCACCAACUGUGGGUUACACACGUCUCCCUGUGCAGCAUGCAGACACAAAAUACAGGAUAUUUAUUUUAUUUCAUAUGCAAUU